rnacentral:misc_RNA from 1 species
UGGCGGUUGGUAAUGAUCAACG